rnacentral:rRNA from 1 species
AGCGUUGCUCGGAAUCACUGGGCGUAAAGCGCACGUAGGCGGAUUGUUAAGUCAGGGGUGAAAUCCUGGAGCUCAACUCCAGAACUGCCUUUGAUACUGGCGAUCUCGAGUCCGGGAGAGGUGAGUGGAACUGCGAGUGUAGAGGUGAAAUUCGUAGAUAUUCGCAAGAACACCAGUGGCGAAGGCGGCUCACUGGCCCGGUACUGACGCUGAGGUGCGAAAGCGUGGGGAGCGAACAGG